GACCUACACAAUAGUGUUUGCAAAAUUAUCAUAAUACCAAUUAAAAUCAUUCUUUCCUUUGUUCAACUCCUGUCUUGAACACGAUCUACAACCAUGAGAGUUCUUCAUGCGUUUUUAUUUUCAUUUUUGAUACUAAUUUACGUACAGACUGCAAAAUCGUCGUUUAGAUUAUGUGGAAUUGGUGCGUGCCAAAACUCAUCAGACUGCUGCGAGGGAGAGUCGUGCUACGCGAAAGAAGGGAAGGUGUUUCUUCGUCACUAUGUGUGCAGUUCUGUCCCCUUAGAGGGCUGGAAAAAGUUGUAACAAAGAAAUGUUCAUCGAUUUCAUUGAAUUUAUCUGUUACAACAAAUACUGCUCUUUUGAAAUAAAUGCGUUAAACUUGUUA